rnacentral:rRNA from 1 species
CCUACGGGAGGCAGCAGUGGGGGCUAUUCCACAAUGGGGGAAACCCUGCUGCAGCGACGCCGCGUGGGUGAAGAAGCGCCUCGGCGCGUAAAGCCCUGUCAGCAGGGAAGAAAAUGACGGUACCUGAAGAAGAAGCCCCGGCUAACUACGUGCCAGCAGCCGCGGUAAUACGUAGGGGGCAAGCGGUAUCCGGAUUUACUUGGUGUAAAGGGGGCGCAGACGGCGAUGCAAGCCAGGAGUGAAAGCCCGGGGCCGAACCCCGGGACUGCUCUUGGAACUGCGUGGCUAGAGUGCAGGAGGGGCAGGCGGAAUGCCUGGGGUAGCGGUGAAAUGCGUAGAUAUCAGGAGGAACACCGGUGGCGAAGGCGGCCUGCUGGACUGCAACUGACGUUGAGGCCCGAAAGCGUGGGGAGCAAACAGGAUUAGAUACCCCAGUAGUC